rnacentral:rRNA from 1 species
GUGGGGAAUAUUCCGCAAUGGACGAAAGUCUGACGGAGCAACGCCGCGUGAGUGAUGAAGGUUUUCGGACUGUAAAGCUCUGUUGUUUAGGACGAAAGUGCCUGUUGCAAACAGUUACAGGUAUUGACGGUACUAAACGAGGAAGCCACGGCUAACUACGUGCCAGCAGCCGCGGUAAUACGUAGGUGGCAAGCGUUGUCCGGAAUUAUUGGGCGUAAAGAGCAUGUAGGCGGGAAUCUAAGUCUGUUGUGAAAAUGCGGGGCUCAACCCCGUAUUGCGAUGGAAACUGGGUUGCUUGAGUGCAGGAGAGGAAAGGGGAAUUCCCAGUGUAGCGGUGAAAUGCGUAGAUAUUGGGAGGAACACCAGUGGCGAAGGCGCCUUUCUGGACUGUGUCUGACGCUGAGAUGCGAAAGCCAGGGUAGCGAACGGGAUUAGAUACCCGUGUAGUCC